UUACGGCCAUAUCACGUUGAAAUAAUGAUUUCCGUACGAUCACCGAAGUUAAGCAACAUUGGGACUGCUCAGUACCUAGAUGGGUCCCCGCUUGGGAGAGCCGGGAGCUAUA